rnacentral:lncRNA from 1 species
AGUGUAGACAUCACUCUGAUCAAUUCUCACUCUCCCUCUUGUGUGUAUCUCUCUAGUUUGUGUAGAAGGCAAAGCUAUAAGCCUUUAGAGAGUGGAGAAGAGCUGCUAAGAGCUAGAGCAAGGUCUUGAGCAUAUCGUUACUCUGCUGGAGUGCUGCCAAGAAGAUUGUAAGCAGCCGCGGUUUCGUUGUAACCAACUCAACAUAGUGGAAGGCUCUAUCUGUCUGACUGACAGAUCUGAGCAAACGGAGGAAGGAGUUGAAAUAGACUCCAAGCCCGGGUGUGGCUUACUCCAACGAGGACUAGGCAAGCAUUUCAGGCUUGGCCGAACCUCGGGAUAAAAUCCUGUGUCCACGUGCUCUGCUCUGUGUUGUGUGCUGAUUCUGUCUUAUUCAGUUCUUACAUCUGCACUUCACUGUUUACUUGUGGUACUAGCUUUCUUUGAAGUGCAGGAUAUUCUUAAGACAGGAAUUUCAAAUCCGCUGCAACCUACUCGAAGGGUUCUUCACUCCACUGCGUUCUAGUCUUCGAGUAGAGUAAGAAUUUAAGUUUUACAGUGAUAAUUUUUAUUCGCCUAUUCACCCCCCUCUAGGCAACAUCCAGAUCCUGUUCCCGGGCCAAAGGGAACUUUCAAUUGGUAUCAAAGCUAGGCCUCUCUAGUGUGGGCUUAGCCGUCCGGAGAUGACGAUGUCGUCACAAGAGGUAACUGUAGAACUUCUUUUAGGCGAUGGUUCUAAUUACAAAUCUUGGUCUGUCUCUAUUUAUAAUGCUUUCAUGCAUGUUGAUCCUGAUUUGAGACAGGUCUUUAGUUGAAGUAUUUUUCCCUCUGAUAUUAGUAAAAAUCCUUCUAAUGCUGAACUAAGAUGUUUAUCUCUCAAUCACCGUGCUUGCAACAUCUUAGUUGACUCUCUUUCUAGAAGUGCUUAUUUUGCCAUCAUGAGUAGUGAUAGUGAUUUAUUUGUUGAUGCUCAUGAUUUAUGGAAUAGAAUUAAAGGAAAAUAUUCUGUGGCAAAUUGUGAUGCUCCUACUCCCUGUAUUACUUGUGAUACUAACCCUUCAAAGGGAGAAGAAAAGUGUUGGGCACCAAACGAUGAAUCCACCUCAUCGACAGGUUUGUUCUCCACUAGUAAUAAAUGUCUUAUUGCUAACAAUGACGGUGGAGACGAAAGCCAUGAUGAGGAGGAAUAUGAGGAUGCUAGCGAGAAUGAAUCUUCAUCACCACAAGGUGCAUUUUCCUGUAUUGCUUCCACUGACAUUAAUGACAGGGAAAAUGAGACCGGUGAUGUGAAAGAAGAGGAGAUUCGCCGUUUCUACAUCCAUCUCAACAAAGAGGACAAAGCGCUCUUGGUUAAGCUGUUGAGAAGGAACAAGGAACAAGGCGAGACGCUUCUCAGGCUAGAGGAGGCACUCAUCAAAACAAACAACAGCCUGGAGAAGAUGACCAAAGAACAUGAGGAGCUAAAGUGCUCUCAUGAUGAUUUGGUCCAACGGUAUGAUUCAAUUUUAUUUGAGCAAAGAAAUAAUGAUGAUGCUUUAUCUUGUGUUGCUCAACUUAAAAUGGAAAAUGCCAUGCUUGAGAGACAAGUAGAAUUGUUAAGUCAUGAUAAACUUGCUCUAACUAAAAAAUAUGAUUUAUUGUCUUGUUAUCAUGAUAAUCUCUUGGAUAGACAUAUCAUGCUUGACGUUGCUCAUGAGGUUGUAAUUACAAACUUAAAGUCAUGUGAACCUCAUUCUUGCACAAGUGCACAUUUGGAUAAUAUAUCACCAUGUGCUAACCCCUGUCGCUCAAAAGGAAGCGAAUGUUUGAAUAAGCAACAAGUUGUAGGGUCAAAAAGGAAUUUGCUUGGGAACAAGAAACAAAGACAAUUAAGAAGAAGACGCCAUGCUCAACUUCCUCAAGAUAUCUGCGAAAACAUGGUGAAGAAGCUUGAGGAAGGAGAAACCGCAGCAAGGGUCAAACUCCUUGAAAAAGAUGUUCCUAAAGCAAUAAGUGAAGCAAUCAGCAUGAUACAGGAAAAAGGUAAUGAUUCAAUUAAUCAUGUUAUUUGCACUAAUAAUUUCUCUAUGUCAUCUAAAAGUAACAAGAGAAGAGGAAAACGGAGAUGCUUCAAGUGCAAGGCAUUAGGCCACCUCAUCGCAUCUUGUCCAUACAAAGACAAGGACAAAGGGAUAAGGAGAUGUUUUGGAUGCAACAACAAGGACCACAUGAUCACUUCAUGUCCAGUCAUGAAGAAUCAAAGAUGUGCAUUCUCCAAGAUGACUCUCACCAAGGAAAAUGACAAACAGCAAGCGUCAUGUCAGGUUAAGCGACAUUUCUGCUACAAGUGUGGUGAGCAGGGUCAUCUAUCCAAGGUAUGUAAUAAAGGUAAGGUUCCUAAGCAAGUGAAUUUGUCUCAAUCUCAUUCGCUUAGGAGACCCAAAUCAUACACUUGUGCUAGAUCUAUAACGAGAUCACCAAGAACUAGCACAAAGACUAUUUGGGUACCAAAGGCACUUUUAGUUGAACGUCAUGGACCCAUCCCGAGAUGGGUACCAAACUGUGCUAACUAGACCAUGCAGGUGCCUUGAGAUGGACUGGAGACCAUGGGAGAGCUUAAGACGGUUAACUCAAACUCUAUGCUUAAGUUGUUAAUUGUUUUGGUGUUUAUUCAUUUACCCAAGGUUGAAUUAUUGUGAGACACUAAUCCCAUGUUCAUCUCAAGUGAAAUAAGUUGUAGAAGUCCUUAACCAUUAUUGGUGAAUCAAGCAAAGGACCUUGAUUGUGCAUCUGGCUCUCCAAAGGACGGUACCUGUGCUUAUUAAGUGCAUUAUCAGUAUUACUCUUAAAAGUUGAUUGUCGUGCUAUCUAUCCUUGGAGUAGUUACGCUUUUAAGAUUGCUCGUGUUGAACCUUGUUAAUAAUUGAUUCAUGAUUUCAAAGAUCACAUUCAUGUUUGCUUAAUCAUGACUGGGUGCUCUAUAAGUCAUAUCUUUUGAAUCAUUCAUUGGGUAGCUUACCAUUUGAGAUAUUUACCAUGAUUAAUCCUUUAUGUGUUCAUGGAUAAACCUGUAUCCUUUUGUAAAUCAUGCUAUACGUGUGUAAUGAGUAACCUAUGUGUGCAAGCAUGACAUCUUGUUUAGUCCAUGUUCACAUAAUUACCCUAUUUUGGCACUAUGCGUUAUACCUAUAAUGCAUCCUCUCGAGCUAUGAAGUGCAUAAACAAUAGGGAACUUGUGGUAAUAACUGGUGCUCUCAUGGCCAUACAGGUAAAAGGCAAAGGUAUGGAAAAUGGAACUAUGCAAUUUCAUUAAAUAUCUUGAAGUUCCAUUGAUUGUGAUCAUAGCUAUGUUCUUGCAUUUCAUUAGUAGUAUCUUGGCUUAGGUGACUUAUGCCUUAAAAUGUUGUUUCUCUUGGUGUACCUAAGAAAAUUUUUCUUAAUCUUGAUGUGAUCAGACAUUGUGCUUUAUUCGCAUGAUCUUGUCGUUUUCAAUUGGCAUAUAUGGUGAAAUGAUUAUCAUGUAUGAAGCAUGCCUAGGUUGCUUGUAAAAUGUUAUACUUCUUAAGGCAUGCAUUGUUGUAUUAAGUCAACCUUUCAUUUGGUAUUCAAUUGGUAUCUCUUUGUGAUGAAAUUGAGAGUAUGCCUUGACCAAGAUAUGUUGUGAUCCCCUCUAGUUCUGAGAAAGCUAGAAUGUGCAAAGCGCAAGUUAUUCAAAUACUUGAUGCACAAGUUUAGGGGGAGCACACAUAACUUGUGUCUUUUGAGACUAAUUGUUUCUUGAGCGAUCUUAUAUAGUCUCAAGGUGGAAAAGAGAAGAUGAUCAAGAAGUGGAGCAAUCAGGACUUGGGUACCUCUGUAAGUCAAGAAAUUGGUAUCUUAAGUCGUGAGCAAUUGCAUAUUUUUAGAUUGCUCAUGCUCUAUAAUAUUUGAUGAUACUAGAUGCUUAUCCUUAAAUAUCAUGGAGCUAUGAUAAUAAAUGACCUUUCAAUUGGUAGCAGUGAUAGUUUGCUUCAAUUGACAUCUUUUGAUAAUCACUAGAAUAGAAGCUUCAUCUUGUGCCAAUACUAUAACUUGCUCUAAGCUUGGUGUCUUAGCAACAAGAAAAGGUUAGGAUAAAGGAUCAGACACAAGUGUGGAGAAGCUCCCGAGAGAUUAAUACUUUCAAGAUGGGAAGUACAUCACAACAUGGUAAAGGUACAAAAGGAAGUAUUGAUAUUUUGCGUAAAUGUAUCUUAAUAUCUCUGGUGCAUAUGUUUAAUGAAUAAGGGGGAGUUUUGAUAGUGUGUUUUUCUUCUUUAUCACCCUGCUGUCCCUUGACAUCAUCCUAUGUUCUUGCUUGAGUAUGGUUUUUGGUGUUUGAUGUCAAAGGGGGAGAAGUUGUGCAUUAAAGCUUAUCUCAACCUGAGAGGAAAGCUUAUCCUAAGGGGUGAUGUGUUAGUUUGAGCUUUGCUAGUGUGUUACUGUGUUAUUGAUAAUUCUUAUCAUAUGCCUCUUGCAGUAUUAUAUGUGUUGCAUCAUAUGGACUAGUGCGUCCGCUGCUAUGAAUUAAUUGGCAUCUAUUGUGUUCAUUCUGAAAUAGAUAGUCAUGUGGAUAAUGGUGCAUAUGGUUAAUGGUUUUAAUGGUGCUUUAAGAUAGUUUUAAAUUGGUAUGGUGCUUUAAGAUUGUUUUAAAUUGGUAUCUUAGUUUAAAUUGGUAUCUUAAUGGUGAAUAGUGGUAGGUUGAUAUUCCUGUGAUAUAUACUCUCAAUUGAUUGGUGUUUAACUCUGAUUCUGUGCAUUUGUGUGUUAUAGCAUCAUGGUUUGAUCCUUGGCACAAUGCAUCCCAAAAGUGCUAAGGUGUAGGAAUGCUUCGAAUAGCCUAAGUAUGUGCAAAUUUGGCAUAUAAGGCCAAAAUUAUGAUUUUGAUGUAAGCACAUAUUUAGGGGGAGCAUUCUAUAAACUUAGAAUUCAAAAUUUGUGCUUUAAAUUUCACUCUUAUGUAAGCUUUAAUUGUGUUGCCAUCAAUCACCAAAAAGGGGGAGAUUGAAAGCUCUCUUGUGGGUUUUGGUGUUUGGAUGACAACUCAAUUAAAGGACUAACAAGUGUACUAAGUGUUGAACAGGUGCUUAAUGUAAAGCUAACAGGGUUCAACACAAGUGAACAAGUGUGAUGGUCCAAGGACUAGAUGAUGGAUAGAUAAUGGGCAUCACAAGUAAGAUGGACAUUGCAUAAAGUGAGACUCAGGUGCGUAGCUCGGAGACAACUGAUCAAGCCAUGGAUGGAGGCAAGAAGAGCUUCGAGGUACCAAGUGCACGGGAGAAGGUCAAAGAGGCAGAGGAACCCAAAGCCAAGGGUGAAGAAGAAGACUUGCAAAGUCAAGGGUGAUCAAGUUGAGAAGAGCUAUGACACAUCAAGGAUCACUACAUAAGGACGUGACUUACAACCAAUGAGGAAAUAUCUAUAGUUAUGUGGUGUAAGUCAUAAGGCUCAAGAUCAAGCUCUAAGAAGGAGAACAAAGUCACUAGAAGGAGAACAAAUGUCAAAUCAGAACUGGAAGCAGCCCAAAAGAGCUAAGUGCACUCUGACCUUUAGUUCAGGUUGUUCCUAUGAUUAGAGAUAUUCUAUGUUACCUUUGCAGGAUGUUGGAGCUCAGAAAUGUCAGUGUAGAUCAAGUUAAGCUGACUUGAUGAUUUAUGAGUCCAACAUCGAUCUUAAGCAUGUCAAAUACUAGAGAAGUGAAAAUCCAAGAGAAGGUAUGUUUCUAGACUUAGUACAUUGGUUUUUGUGUACUAACAUAUUUGUCAAAGUGUUAGAGACAGAGAAAAGAAGAAGAAAAGAAAAGAGAUGCAAAAGGCUUGGCUAUGUACAGCCAAGACUCAGCUCAGUUUGGCACACCGGACUGUCCGGUGGUGCACCGGACUGUCCGAUGGUGCACCAGACAGUGUCCGGUGCGCCAAGCUGAACUCUAGUGAACAGGCCACUCUCGGGAGAAGUUUGGCGACGUACGGCUAUAAUUCACCGAACUGUCCGGUGGUGCACCAGACUGUCCGGUGAGCCAACGGUCGGCCGUGCAAUCCGCCCGUGACGCGUGGCCAAGCCAACGGUCAGAUGGGGGCAUCAGACUGUCUGGUGUGCACCGGACAGUGUCUGGUGCGCCAACGGCUCCAAGACUGCAAUGGUCGACUGCGCCAAUUUUGGAAGGAAAUCGGGCACCAGACAGUGUCCGGUGGUGCACCGGACAGUGUCCGGUGGUGCACCGGACUGUCUGGUGCGCCAACCGACUGAAGGCAACAUUUGCCUUCCUGGAUUGCUUCCAACUGCUCCUAGGCCCCUUGUGCCUAUAAAAGGGACCUCCAGGCGCCUCAAUCACAAUGAGAAGAGCAGCCAACAAGUGUAGACAUCACUCUGAUCAAUUCUCACUCUCCCUCUUGUGUGUAUCUCUCUAGUUUGUGUAGAAGGCAAAGCUAUAGCCUUUAGAGAGUGGAGAAGAGCUGCUAAGAGCUAGAGCAAGGUCUUGAGCAUAUCGUUACUCUGCCGGAGUGUUGCCAAGAAGAUUGUAAGCAGUCGCGGUUUCGUUGUAACCAACUCAACAUAGUGGAAGGCUCUAUCUGUCUGACUGAC